rnacentral:rRNA from 1 species
GACGAACGCUGGCGGCGUGCUUAACACAUGCAAGUCGAACGGAAAGGCCCUGCUUUUGCGGGGUGCUCGAGUCGCGAACGGGUGAGUAACACGUGAGUAACCUGCCCUUGACUUUGUGAUAUCUUCAGGAAACUGGUGCUAAUACCGGCUAGGAGCUCCUGCUGCAUGGUGGGGGUUGGAAAGUUCCGGCUGUUGGGGAUGGACUCGCGGGUUAUCAGCUUGUUGGUGGGGUAGUGGCAUACCAAGGCUUUGAUAGGUGGGCGGCCUGAGAGGGGGAACGGCGACAUUGGGCCUAAGGGAGGGCGCAGACUCGAACGGUAGGCAGCAGUGGGGAGUAUGGCACAAUGGGGGGAAGCGUGAUGCGGCGGCGCCGGGAGCGGAAAGACGGCCUAGUGGUUGGAAAGCGCUUUCGGCUGUGACGAAGCGUGAGUGACGGUAAUAGGUAAAGAAGCACCGGCUAACUACGUG